UACGUAGGGUGCAAGCGUUAUCCGGAAUUAUUGGGCGUAAAGAGCUCGUAGGCGGUUUGUCGCGUCUGCUGUGAAAACUGGAGGCUCAACCUCCAGCCUGCAGUGGGUACGGGCAAAACUAGAGUGCGGUAGGGGAGAUUGGAAUUCCUGGUGUAGCGGUGGAAUGCGCAGAUAUCAGGAGGAACACCGAUGGCGAAGGCAGAUCUCUGGGCCGUAACUGACGCUGAGGAGCGAAAGCAUGGGGAGCGAACAGG
rnacentral:rRNA from 1 species